rnacentral:rRNA from 1 species
UACGAGGGGUGCAAGCGUUGCUCGGAAUUACUGGGCGUAAAGGGUGCGUAGGCGGUUCGUUAAGUCUGUUGUGAAAUCCCCGGGCUCAACCUGGGAAUGGCAAUGGAUACUGGCGAGCUAGAGUGUGAUAGAGGAUGGUGGAAUUCCCGGUGUAGCGGUGAAAUGCGUAGAGAUCGGGAGGAACAUCAGUGGCGAAGGCGGCCAUCUGGAUCAACACUGACGCUGAAGCACGAAAGCGUGGGGAGCAAACAGG